UGGGGAAUUUUCCGUAAUGGGCGAAAGCCUGACGGAGCAAUACCGCGUGAGGGAGGAAGGCUUUUGGGUUGUAAACCUCUUUUCUUAGGGAAGAAGUUCUGACGGUACCUAAGGAAUCAGCAUCGGCUAACUCCGUGCCAGCAGCCGCGGUAAUACGGAGGGUGCAAGCGUUGUCCGGAUUUAUUGGGUUUAAAGGGUGCGUAGGCGGGUAUUUAAGUCAGUAGUGAAAUCCCUGAGCUCAACUGAGGAAUUGCCAUUGAUACUGGAUAUCUUGAUUACCGUAUAGGUAGGCGGAAUUUAUGGUGUAGCGGUGAAAUGCAUAGAUACCAUAAAGAACACCGAUAGCGAAGGCAGCUUACUGGACGUGUAAUGACGCUGAUGCACGAAAGCGUGGGUAGCGAACGGGAUUAGAUACCCCUGUAGUCC
rnacentral:rRNA from 1 species